rnacentral:tRNA from 1 species
GAAAACUUAGUUAAUGAAUAAUUUUGGUUUGUCGAGCUAAAGUGGCCUUCUGGCAGUUUUUA